AGCAAGCAGUGGGCGCGGGUCUGCGCAUGUGCACGAGUGCCGGAGUUUCACUUUGUAACUUGUAAGUAGUCUGGACGCCGCCCCGCCCGGCCAGGUGGAGCCAGACAACCUCCCCGGGCCGCGCCGGGCCGCAGCGCCGCCGCCGCAGGGAGGACCAGCACGAUGACUGACUCCCCAUUCCUGGAGCUGUGGCAAUCCAGGGCGGUGGCCAUCCGCCAGCGGCUGGGCAUCGGGGACCAGCCCAAUGACUCCUACUGCUACAACUCGGCCAAAAACAGCACCGUGCUCCAGGGGGUCACCUUCGGUGGCAUCCCCACUGUCCUGUUCAUAGACGUCAGCUGCUUCCUGUUUUUAGUAUUGGUAUUUUCCAUCAUAAGAAGAAACUUCUGGGAUUAUGGCCGCAUUGCCCUGGUGUCAGAAGCAAACAGUGAGUCCAGGUUCCAGAGACUGUCAUCUUCCUCCUCAGGGCAGCAGGACUUUGAAAGCGAGCUGGGAUGCUGCCCCUGGCUGACUGCGGUCUUCCGCCUGCAAGAUGACCAGAUCCUGGAGUGGUGUGGGGAGGACGCCAUCCACUACCUGUCGUUCCAGAGACACAUCAUCUUCCUGCUGGUGGUGGUCAGCUUCUUGUCUCUGUGUGUCAUCCUGCCCGUCAACCUCUCGGGGAGCUUGCUGGACAAAGACCCUUACAGCUUUGGGAGGACGACCAUCGCAAACCUACAGACGGACAAUGACCUCCUUUGGCUGCACACCGUCUUCGCUAUCCUUUACCUCAUCCUCACUGUGGGCUUCAUGCGGCACCAUACCCGGUCCAUCAAGUACAAAGAGGAGAACCUGGUGAGACGGACCCUGUUCAUCACAGGACUCUCCAGAGACGCGAAGAAGGAGACUGUGGAGAGCCACUUCCGGGACGCGUAUCCCACGUGUGAAGUGGUGGAGGUCCAGCUGUGCUACAACGUGGCCAAGCUGAUUUACCUGUGCAGGGAGAGAAAAAAGACAGAGAAGAGCCUGACCUAUUACACAAACCUGCAGAUGAAGACAGGCCAGCAGACCCUCAUCAACCCCAAGCCCUGCGGCCAGUUCUGCUGCUGUGAAGUGAAGGGGUGUGAGUGGGAGGACGCCAUCGCCUACUACACGCGCAUGAAGGACAGGCUGACGGAGAGGAUCACAGAAGAGGAAUGCAGGGUCCAGGACCAGCCCCUGGGAAUGGCCUUCGUCACCUUCCAGGAAAAGUCCAUGGCCACCUACAUCCUGAAGGACUUCAACGCCUGCAAGUGUCAGGGCCUUCAGUGCAAAAGUGACCCGCAGCCAUCCCCCCACAGCAGAGAGCUCUGCAUCUCCAAGUGGACGGUCAGCUUCGCCGCUUACCCCGAAGACAUCUGCUGGAAGAACCUCUCUAUCCAGGGCCUCCGCUGGUGGUUCCAAUGGCUGGGCAUCAACUUCACUCUCUUCUUGGGGCUGUUUUUCCUGACCACGCCCUCCAUCAUCCUGUCCACCAUGGACAAGUUCAACGUCACCAAACCCAUCCAUGCGCUAAAUGACCCCAUCAUCAGCCAGUUCUUCCCAACCCUCCUCCUGUGGUCCUUCUCAGCCCUGCUGCCCACCGUCGUUUACUACUCUACGGUGCUGGAGUCUCACUGGACCAAGUCAGGGGAGAACCGAAUCAUGAUGACCAAGGUCUACAUAUUCUUGAUCUUCAUGGUGCUGAUUCUGCCCUCCCUGGGCCUCACCAGUUUGGAUUUUUUCUUCCGGUGGCUCUUUGAUAAAACUUCCUCGGAGGCCUCUGUCAGGUUGGAGUGCGUCUUCCUGCCCGACCAGGGCGCCUUCUUUGUGAACUAUGUCAUCGCCUCGGCCUUCAUUGGCAACGGCAUGGAGCUGCUGCGGCUGCCCGGCCUCAUCCUCUACACCUUCCGCAUGGUCAUGGCCAAGACUGCAGCCGACCGCAGGAACAUCAAGCAGAACCAGGCCUUCGAGUACGAGUUUGGAGCCAUGUACGCGUGGAUGCUCUGCGUCUUCACCGUCAUCAUGGCCUACAGCAUCACCUGCCCCAUCAUCGUGCCGUUCGGCCUCAUCUACAUCCUGCUCAAGCACAUGGUCGACCGGCACAACCUCUACUUUGCCUACCUCCCGGCAAAGCUGGAGAAGAGAAUCCACUUCGCAGCUGUGAACCAGGCCUUGGCCGCUCCCAUCCUGUGCCUCUUCUGGCUCUACUUCUUUUCCUUCCUGCGCCUGGGUCUGAAGGCUCCCCUCACCGUGUUCACCUUCCUGGUGCUUCUGCUUACCAUCCUGGUCUGCCUGGCCUACACCUGCUUUGGAUGCUUCAAGCACCUCAGCCCUCUGAACUACAAGACGGAAGAAUCGGCAAGUGACAAAGGAAGUGAGGCAGGGGCCCACGUGCCAUCACCGUUCACAUCCUACGUGCCCCGGAUUCUGAACAGCUUGUCCUCGGAGAAAACAGCCCUGUCCCCGCAGCAGCAGCAGACCUACGGUGCCAUCGCCAUCCACAACAUCAGUGGGACCGUCCCACGGCAGUGCCUGGAUCAGAGCCCUGCGGACAGCGUGGCGGCCGCCCGCCAGGAGGCCUGAGGGCCGGGGAGCUGCCGGGCUGGUCCAGACCCGGGGAGUGGGGAGGGGAAGAGACACAGGUGGAGAAGUGGCUUGACUCCAACCUCAACCAAGUCAGGACUUCUUUCCACCUGUUUUAAGCACAACAGCUCUAACAAGAUGGGAGCAGAAAGGGGCUCUGGCCCCUGGCUGAGGCGGAAGUGCGGGACUGCCAUCAGGUGGUGGUCUUUUCCAGUCCUAGCAGUGAAGCGCUGGGAGGAGGUGAUGGUGCCUGUCGUCCAGUAGAGCAUCACGCCCGUCAGCAGAUCGUCCAGGGAGAACUUCCUGGGAAAGCAGACCGGAAGGCCCCUCUCAGUGCCAGGUGCAGUUGUAUGACAAACAAGGGCCGCCACUUUCAAGCUGUACGCCAGGCGCUAUGCCCUCCUGGCUUCCCUCCUCAGGCCUCACUGCCAGCUUGGCGAUCUUAUCCCCGUGCCACAGGCAGGCCUGGCCCAGCGUCACCAUAACCGUGACGAUAGGUAAUGCAGAGUGAUGGCCAUGUACAAGGCAGGCUGUCAUCUUGGGUGGUGUCAGCCAGCCCCCUCCCUGACCUGCCUAACGGCUCAGGCCAGAAGGGGUGAAGCAGGUGAGGUCAACUGAACCCAGAGGCUUUGGCUGGUCACCGCUGGGUAGCCAGGAGGUCGGUGGGUAGGAUGCUGCAAACCCUGCUCAGAGGUGGUGCCCACUCCUGGGACCUCAGUGCAGGCCACCUUCAGACCAUCCUCAGGGGGGCCCACCCUGCCAGGCCCUGAGCCAAACCUGAUCUCCAGGCAGGCUUCAGAAGCCCCGAUCCUGCCCUGACCGGACACCAGGAGAAGCAGGGCAGGGUCAGCAGCUCCUGGGGCAUUUUUAUUCACUAGCCCCCAGCUUGCCUCCCGCCAAACCUGUGUCACCCCAGGAGGGAGCCAUGGGCUCCUGCAGAGACCCGCCACACCAACUCAGCAGGGGACACCCCUUUUCUUCUCCAGCCUGGGAACUGCUGAGCAGGUGAACCCCACCCAGACUGCAGAGCCCCACACUCUGGAAGGAAAUAAUCAUUUGGUACCUAAUGUUGGAGCACGUGGCCUGUAGACUCUGGAAGCCCCACUUCCUCCUGGGCCCACCCGGCCCUCUCUCUCUCCUGCUGCUGGGCUCCCUCAGCCCGGCCUGCGUCCAGAGCCCCCGGAGCCCUCCAUAUGGCCUCCCCUGCCCUCUCGCUCCCCUGCCAUCACUCACCCCUUCAGUACCCUCACCCUGGGGGCCUUCUGCCACCCUGAGCCCACCUGACAGUCCACAGACGUGAGGGGACUCCAGCACUACUGACGCCACGCUCUCCAACCUCAGCUGCCACCUCCUCAGCAGGUCCUGACGGCCGUGUGCUCACCCACAGCCUCCCGCCUGCCCUGCCUGCCUCUGAGGAAAUCCAAGUUCAUGGGGCAGCAGCUCCCACCCCCCAUACCCUUCCCUGCUUGAGUCCAGAUUUGGGGCUUAGGAGAGCUGUCGCCCCUUGUCCUGGGCCCUAAAUGCCUCCAUCUGCCUCUUCAGGCCCAAACGUCCGUCACCCGCCCCCCCAACCCCGGAUGCCCUCAGGCCUUCCCCUCGCUCCAUACCCCUGUCCCCUCUCUCCCGCCCCUGCCAUCUCUCCCAUGCCUCCUGACCCUGCACACUGGAACUGUCCCUGCUGCCCAGGCCUCGCAGGUAGGGCCCUCUCACCAGGUCUGUCCUCCCAGACUCUCUCACUUCUGGUCCUGCAGCAGCCAAUAAGGCUCCUCCCAGCAUCCCUGGAUGCCGCCCUGCUGCGCUCUGUCUGAGGAGAUCUACCCUGUGGCUCCAUCUACGAACUCACCAAGAGGGCAGUGGAAAUACCUCCUUCCAAUUCGACCCCUCCCCUGAGCUCCAGAUCUGUGAGCCCAGUUACCAAGUGGACACCUGCGCCCGGGCAUCCUGCCAGCAUCUCCCCCUCGGCAUGUCUGUGACGAAAAUGAGCUCAGCCUGUCUGUGUCCCCGCCAAGCCCUGCUGCCCUCACUCCUGCAUUCCCACCCCAUCCUUGCUGCCAGGAUUAAAGAACAUUUGCGGGCUUC